GAGACCUGUUUUGAAUUCAAGUUGGGAAACCUGUAUGCGUUUUGCACAUUCUACCUAUGACUGCGUGGUUUUCCAUCAGGUGGUCUGGUUUCCUUGCACAGUCCAGAAUAUGCAGAUUAGGUAGAUUAACCAUGAUAAAUUACUCAGAGGGAUUGGAGGUUUGGUGGGUGGUGGAGCGCAGCAUUCUUUCCCCCUAACUUAAGACAGUCAUUUUAACUUGGGUGGUGGGGAAUCUUUUGUAAUAACUAUUUGCAACAACAUUAAUAGGGCAAAUGCAGACGUAUUAAGGAAAGCUGGCAUGGAUUUUUUUAGGGUAAAUCAGCUUUAACUUGAAAUGUUUUUCGACGCAAGAAGGUUGACAAGUUGUUGAUGUGUGUGUGAAUUUCAAAAAGGUUUCACAACAAAUUUGUGAGCAAAAAGUUAUAGCUCAUGGAAUAAGAAAAGGAAAGAUAGCAACAUGAAUACACUAAGCAAUAAUGCUUAAAGAAUAUUUGAUUCUUCAUGUAGAGGGCACAACUAUAAAGUUUGCUGAUGAACUUGGAAGUAUUGUGAAGUGAAGAGGACUGUGUAGAACUUGAGCACGAGGACAUGUUGGAAGGGGUGAACAGGUGAAAGAUAAAAAGUCCAUUAGCAAUGUAAAGUGAUCUUUUUGUAGAGACUUCUAAUGUCGGGCAAGAUUAGAUAACGUCACGUAAACCUUUUCACAGAAUAUGGUCAAGAUCUGGAAUGCACAUGGUAUACAGAACUGGAUCAGUCAAGGCAUUUAACAAAGUAUUGGAUUUACAUCCGUAGAGGAUGAAUAUGGAGAUAAGCUGCUUACUCUGAAUUAGUGCAGGCAUUUACUUUAGACACUUUUAAGCGACUCUUGGAUAGGCACAUGGAUGAUAGUGUAAUGCAGGGUAGAUUGAUCUUGGAUUAUAAGUUGGCACAAUAUCGUGGGUCAAAGAGCUUGUACUGUUAUGUUCUAUUUAUACAAUGCUGAUGGGAGGAAUGUGUUGGAAUUUAAGCCUCCCUCCCACUCCAUGAACAGUACCGAAAACUGUAAAUGUCUUAUUUAAUCAGCAAAAUUACUUUACUAUCUAGAAUAUAAAUGACUUACUCAAUUUCUUCAAUCAACCAAAAUGACUUGUUUAUUGAGAACAUCAUUUUAAAAAGUGGCAAAGCGAAACAAAAAAGUCAGUAACAAAGAUACUGUGCAGACCUUAUCCCUCCUCAUCUUAACACACAAAUUAUACUGUUCUAGAGUGUAAUGGUCUUUGAAAACUUUGUAUAAACAUCAUUCUAGGCCAAAGGGUCCAAACUAAGACGACAGCGAUGACAAAUUGACUUGUCUCACUUGGCUUCCUGUUGAUGAGAUCAGUUGCUGUCAAUUGUAAAAUAAUAGAAAAUCUUUGUAACACAUUCAGAUGGGAAAUUUUAGGGCAGUCCUACUGUUUAAAAUGCAACCUUUUACAAAUUUACUGUUGAAAAAGAGCUUAUCACUUGAUUUCCUUCAGAGUUUUAAAAUCUUACUGAAACGUUUUCCUCCCACCAGCUUUAUUCCAUCUGUUUUUCAAGAGAAUAUGUACAACUCCAAAGAACAUUUUUCAACUGAAAGUUUACUGUAUGAGGUACCAAAUUCAUAGGCUGUUACUAAGCAACAUUAGCACAGAGACCUGUCCAAUAUUAAUUUUGUCCAGCUAUCAUUGGCCAAAAUCAAUCUUUUCAAUCAAUCACAUUUUUUAAUGAAACUUUUUGACCUUUUUGAAUGGAGUUCUUAAAAAGUCACAUGGUAAAUCCUUUCCAACCUAGGAAUAAUCCAAAUCUCCUAUUUUCCAAUUCUUGUACUACGUAAAUGUUUCCAAAAACAUUAAUGUCUGCAUCCUGGGGUGUAAAUGUGAGUAUACUGAAACCAAAUGUUUAAUAUACAGAUUGUAUUUAUGUUACACAGCAGACUCUGGCCCAAGAGGGAGGCCAGAGAAUUUUGUUUAAUCUUCAAUGGAACAUGCAGUCAUGCUAGUUGCCUUGGAACAAUUGACUCGCUGGAUGAUUUGAGAGGGCAAUCGAGUCAACCACAUGGCUGUGGGGCUGGAGUCUCUCUCAGUUCAGACCAGGUAACAGCAGAUUUCUGUCGCUGACGGACAGUGAACCAUUUAGGUUUUUAAAAUAAUUAGAUUUUAUAGGAGUUCAAAUUUCACCACCUGCUGUGAGCUUAUGUCCUCCACACCAGCUUGGUCUGUGGAUUAAUAGUUUUGUAAUUACAACACAUCUACCCCUAUUUAGUGGAUCACACGUGGUUGUGUAUUGUGACAAGCACUGGCGGUUGUGCUGUGAAACAUGCUGCUCAUGAUCUCAGUAUUUAUAUUGCUGCCAAGCAUUUUAACAAUAAAUGUUCCUCCAAGUAGAACCUGUAAAAAGACAGUUGUCUUAUUUCUGUGAAACAAUUCAGUUUUUAUGCUUUACCCAGUUGACAGCAAAAAGAUUAUUUUACCCAAGUGUCUGACAAGUUUGAUUUGAAUUAUUCCAGAUUAAAUAAAACUUGUUAGAUAAUUGCAAAAUGUAGCAUGUGCAGACAGAUUACGUGACCUAAACAGCAAUUUUAUAUUGGCCAGAACUGAACAGGAAUAUACAAUGGGUACCAGACAGGUGUGCUGAAUAAGGGAGGCACAAUAUGUUUUAUUCUCAUGUUAGAGUCAGUGCAAAAUUGACCUGAGAUUUCUAUACAAAUGGGAAUAUGUGAAUCAUACAUAUAUAUUGAAGUACAGAGGGUUUGAUGCAAAUCAUUAGUCACAUCCUGUUCAUCUCUCAUUUGGUUCAGAUUCUAAACUCAAACAGGAUUCAAUGUCAUGAUUUUUAGUUUUAGGUUUUUUUGAAAAAAUGGGUAUCCAUUCAAUUGUUGCUUGUAUAAGACUAAAAUAAAUACUUGGAGGUUUCAUAAAAUAAGUGAUCAUUUCAAAAGAUGAAUGUGGGCAGAGUCAGGUUUUAUUUGAAAUUGAGAACAUGGCUGUGUAGAUAUUUUUAAUCAAGCUAUUUAAUGAUAUUACACCUUUGGACCAUGUGAGAUUGGAACCCAUGCUUUGUGGCUCAGAGGUACUCACUGGAUACGAUAGAAUCGUGCACUCAUACACAAAACAAAGAACAAAUCGAUCUAGUCAAUAAACAUUCCAUACAUUCACUUAAUUUUCGAUAGAUAAUCAGUAGUGCUGUCAAGAGGUACUGAUACUCAGUUUGGGUUUGUGGAGGAUUAUCAAUUCUACCUCCAUUUUGAUUCAAACAUGAAUGUAAAUGGAAUUUCUAAGGAGAAAGUGCCCUUAACCUCAGAAUCCCUGCAAAAUUGAAGUUUGGACAUCAGGGCCUGAUUUAAAAAAAAAGACAUCUAUACCAUGGUUUUGUCUAGCAGUUUUUUUUCUUUCACAGGUGACCUACCCAUUGAGUGAUACAGCACAGAAACGCACCCUUUGGUCCAACCAGUCCACACCAAACAUGGAUUUAACUUUUCAAUAAUUACCUAGAUUCACCAGCAGAUUGGGAAGCCACCGGAUCAGUAGUAAUCCAGAGGGCUCGGCUAAUGCAGUGGAGCAAUGCAUUCAAGUAUAUGCUAACUCAAAUAAGAAGAAAGGAGUCUUCAUCCUACAAAAUGCCAGAAGUAAAUCAGACAAACCCUUACUGAAAAGAACCUGCAAUUUCAUCAUUUUUGAUCUUAAACACAAAGUGAUAUGUCAGAAAUUAACAGCAAGCAUUUUCUGAUUUUGUGCGGGGUUUCAUACUUCUAAAUGCUAUUGAAAAACUCAUGUUAAGGAUUUUCUCGCCUGAUCAAACAGCAAAGACUUUUGGAUGUAAAGAAGGGCUUACAUUCCAUGAGCCCUUUUGAUUGAAGAGUGGACCUAGUCAGCAUGCUUUUGUAUCUGAAAGAUUCACAACGCUCAGUGAAGAAAAUCUUCAGUUUCAAAUAGCUGGCCCCUUGUAUCUUUUAAUGAGAACUGUACAGAGACUACAAUUUCAUAAUUUCUGAUAGUGACGACAAAGUAAUAUAUCAGAAAUUGAUAGUGAGCAUUUCCUGAUUUUGGGUGAUGCAGGUUGAAUGUCACAAUCCCAGCAGAAUCCUUCCGGAUUAUGGGGUUCCAGCGAUUCCCCGGGAAAUGGACAUGUGAUGUUGCCAGACCUGCCAAGGUUCUCUAGCAGUUUGUCUUCCUGAAGCAGGUUCUAACAAGAACGUUUUCAGCUCUGGCCACUAAAGUAAAUGUCUGAAGCAUCAAUAAUGCCCGAGUGUAAUAGUGCACGCUUUUUUAAAAUUAUACGUUCUGAAGAAGAGUCACUGGAUCCGAAACGUUAACUCUGCUUCCUCUCCACAGAUGCUGCCGGACCUGCUUUUGAGUUUUUUUCAGCAUUUUCUGCUUUUGUUUCUGAUUUCCAGCAUUGCCAGCUUUAAAAAAAAAUUGUAUUUGCUUGUAGACACAUAGUCAUUGA